rnacentral:rRNA from 1 species
UACGUAGGCGGUUUAUUAAGUCAGAUGUGUAAGCCCCGGGCUUAACCUGGGAACUGCAUUUGAUACUGGUAAACUAGAGUAUGGUAGAGGGGGUAGAAUUCCUAGUGUAGCGGUGAAAUGCGUAGAUAUUAGGAGGAAUACCAGUGGCGAAGGCGGCCCCCCUGGACCAAUACUGACGCUGAGGUACGAAAGCGUGGGUAGCGAACA